rnacentral:rRNA from 1 species
CCUACGGGACGCACCAGUGGGGAAUAUUGCACAAUGGGCGCAAGCCUGAUGCAGCCAUGCCGCGUGUAUGAAGAAGGCCUUCGGGUUGUAAAGUACUUUCAGCGGGGAGGAAGGUGUUGUGGUUAAUAACCACAGCAAUUGACGUUACCCGCAGAAGAAGCACCGGCUAACUCCGUGCCAGCAGCCGCGGUAAUACGGAGGGUGCAAGCGUUGAUCGGAAUUACUGGGCGUAAAGCGCACGCGGGCGGUCUGUCAAGUCGGAUGUGAAAUCCCCGGGCUCAACCUGGGAGCUGCAUUCGAAACUGGCAGGCUAGAGUCUUGUAGGGGGGGGUAGGAUUCCAGGUGUAGCGGUGAAAUGCGUAGAGAUCUGGAGGAAUACCGGUGGCGAAGGCGGCCCCCUGGACAAAGACUGACGCUCAGGUGCGAAAGCGUGGGGAGCAAACAGGAUUAGAUACCCCAGUAGUC